rnacentral:rRNA from 1 species
GUGAACGCUGGCGGUAGGCCUAACACAUGCAAGUCGAACGGCAGCACAGUAAGCGCUUGCUCUUACGGGUGGCGAGUGGCGGACGGGUGAGGAAUACAUCGGAAUCUACUUUUUCGUGGGGGAUAACGUAGGGAAACUUACGCUAAUACCGCAUACGACCUACGGGUGAAAGCAGGGGAUCUUCGGACCUUGCGCGAUUGAAUGAGCCGAUGUCGGAUUAGCUAGUUGGCGGGGUAAAGGCCCACCAAGGCGACGAUCCGUAGCUGGUCUGAGAGGAUGAUCAGCCACACUGGAACUGAGACACGGUCCAGACCCCUACGGGAGGCAGCAGUGGGGAAUAUUGGACAAUGGGCGCAAGCCUGAUCCAGCCAUACCGCGUGGGUGAAGAAGGCCUUCGGGUUGUAAAGCCCUUUUGUUGGGAAAGAAAAGCAGCAGGUUAAUACCCCGCUGUUCUGACGGUACCCAAAGAAUAAGCACCGGCUAACUUCGUG